AUACUAAAAGCACAAUAUACUCAAUAGAGAGGCUGCCACGUCAUUUAAUUAAAUCCACCAAUCAGAAACAAUUAUUUGACCACAUCAGAACAGCUUUGUUUAGAGAAAAUGGGCUUUGCCAUAGUUUCCAAAAAAAAAUUAUCACGGCCAUCGAACCUGACAAUUCCAAAUUCAUGUUCAACUUCUCGAUUCUCUGUAAUCGACUCUUCCACUCUAUCUUCCAUCUCUGUAACCCUCCUCCUAAUCAAUCGUUCCCAGAUCUACUCCUCCCGAAGACCCCAUGACCUCAUCCCCAGCGACAGCGGCGACAACUACUUCCGGAGUUGUAAUUUCGACGAAAGACCGCCAUACGAAAGUCGACGGAAGAGGGCGGCGAAUCAGGAUGCCGGCUCUGUGCGCCGCUAGGGUUUUCCAGCUAACGAGAGAGCUCGGGCGCAAGUCCGAUGGAGAAACCAUCGAGUGGGCUUCUCCAGCAAUAAGAGCAACUGAAACCCCUAAUCGUAGAGCGCCUCUCUGAUCGAUGAGCAGCCUCUGAGAAAUAAUAUUAAACGAUGGAGAUAACUACAAUCUAAAGCGUGGAAUUGGAAGAGGAUACUUUUUGAGAAAGCUAAGGGCAUCAAGGAGCUGCCACUCGGCUAAGAGAUGGGUCCACUGGACUCACGUUAUUUACUUGGAAAGUAAUCUUUAUCUCUCCCUCUAUUGAGUUUUAGUUUGUCUCAUACUCAUGAUUCAAAAAUUCACUGUGAGCUAAUCAUAGAGACUCAACAUCGAAAGAUACACCUCUAAUUUGAUGUUGCUUUGUUUUAAUCCCCAGUCUUGAAUUUUGCACUACCUUUCCUUUUAAAAAUAAAUAUCUUCUUAGUUUAACUACAAGUGAAUUAAUAGAAUUACAAAGAUUAAGUGAUUGUGAAUAUAUGGCUAAUAUAUAUAAUGAUGUGUUUUCCUGUGAAACUGGUGUCACUUUGUCCCAAUGAUAGGAAAGAUUCAACGGCACUUUUCCACUUUUAUCUUCUAGGUCCCUGAAUCUACGAUCACACUUUGAUGAUCUAAUUAUCGUACUGCAAAAUUGAAUUAUUCCACCUUUGAUUUGGUUCGUAUAUGUUGUGUUAUGUUCAAUGGGUUUCUAUACUUGAACGUGCAUUUUAUCAAUCAUAUUGACUUAUUUUUCUGUCUGAGAAUAAUUUUCUACAUUAUUUUUCUUAUGGAUUUGCUUCCUACUUCUUCAAAGAGGAGUAUAUUUCAAGUGGCUCACGAUAUCAAAAAACUCCCUCGGGAAAUGUUACAGCUAUUGCCAAUGUUAAAUUUCAGCUAAUGAUUGGUACCCGGUUAAAGUAAGAGUGACUUUGUUUUCUUUCCUUCUACAGAGUCUCACAAGGUUUGGGAUUUUAUUGCAUCUGAUCAUUAUUGCUGUGAGAAAUGGGUAUAGGGAGAUGAAAGUAUCAUCGAAGAUAUCACCAGGCAUAUGAAGGAGAAUAACAUAUUUGGAUUGAGAAUGAUGAUAUUUUAUUGGUAAUAUGGGACUUGCGGACAGACCAAAUUCAGCAUCAAGUCAACGUUCAUGAGAGAGAGAGCUGCGAUGCAGGCAUACAAAGCAGCUAAAAAAUAUUGACCAAGGUGAUGAAGUUGUUGAAUCAGACAAGGUUUCCUAUGGACUAAUGAAAAAGGUAGAUGACUUGAAAGAAACUUGGGGUUGAUGGUCCCAGUAAAUUUGUGUACCAAAACUAACUCUUCAAGUGUACUUGAUGGUCUGAUAAUAAUAUCUCAAAAAAGAGAAUGACGAUGUGGAUGUCAAAUUUGGUAAAGGCUGGCUGCUUCUUUACAGGUAUAUAGAAAUAUUAGCCCUGUUCUUUUACCAUUUGCGGCGUCAGCGGUAGCGAUAGAGCAAAACGACGUUGACUGAGCUAUUUAUUGCCACUGGGUAACGAAGUGGAAGACUUUUUGCAACCAGAGGUUCUCACUGAAAAUAUUAGCGUCCAUGAAAGACGUCACGGACAACACCUGCGAUCACUUCCAGCGAUUAUUUAUGUUUCCACCAUGCUACUUUGCUCUCAACUAAAGUUACUUUUUCUUGCUGCUGUCGCUGCCGCAGCUAUUCCUUAACGGGCAGGGCUAUUAUAUAUUGUACAAUCCUUCGGAUUCAAUUGUGUUUCAGUUAUGAACAAUACAGCAAAGUGAGUCUGCAUGUAUUAUUCUUUGGACAUUUAUGUGCGACUCAUAAAAUGUAGUUGACACAUCAAAACAUUACUGUCAUGUUUGUUUCACAGUUGUGUUGUUGUGUUAAUGUUGAUGGAAUAUGCAAACAAUAUUUUAUA